AAUUAUAGGCGGUGGGUUGUAAUUCCAUUUAUGGGGCUAAUCCCUUCUUUACA
rnacentral:tRNA from 1 species